rnacentral:rRNA from 1 species
GACGAACGCUGGCGGCGUGCUUAACACAUGCAAGUCGAACGGAAAGGCCCUGCUUUUGUGGGGUGCUCGAGUGGCGAACGGGUGAGUAACACGUGAGUAACCUGCCCUUGACUUUGGGAUAACUUCAGGAAACUGGGGCUAAUACCGGAUAGGAGCUCCUGCUGCAUGGUGGGGGUUGGAAAGUUUCGGCGGUUGGGGAUGGACUCGCGGCUUAUCAGCUUGUUGGUGGGGUAGUGGCUUACCAAGGCUUUGACGGGUAGCCGGCCUGAGAGGGUGACCGGCGACAAUGGGACUGAGAUACGGCCCAGACGCCUACGGGAGGCAGCAGGGGGGAAUAUUGCACAAUGGGCGGAAGCCUGAUGCAGCAACGCCGCGUGCGGGAUGACGGCCUUCGGGUGGUAAACCGCUUUCGCCUGUGACGAAGCGUGAGUGACGGUAAUGGGUAAAGAAGCACCGGCUAACUACGUG